rnacentral:rRNA from 1 species
UACGAAGGGGGCUAGCGUUGUUCGGAAUUACUGGGCGUAAAGGGCGCGUAGGUGGCCCGGUCAGUUCGUGGUGAAAGCGCGGGGCUCAACCCUGCGUCGGCCAUGAAUACUGCCGCGGCUGGAGCACUGUAGAGGCAGGCGGAAUUCCGGGUGUAGCGGUGGAAUGCGUAGAGAUCCGGAAGAACACCGGUGGCGAAGGCGGCCUGCUGGGCAGUUGCUGGACACUGAGGCGCGACAGCGUGGGGAGCAAACAGG